rnacentral:rRNA from 1 species
UGAGGAAUAUUGGUCAAUGGGCGGGAGCCUGAACCAGCCAAGCCGCGUGAGGGAAGAAGGCCCUAUGGGUCGUAAACCUCUUUUGUCAGGGAACAAAAGCGAGUAUGUAUACUGGUCUGAGUGUACUCGAAGAAAAAGCAUCGGCUAACUCCGUGCCAGCAGCCGCGGUAAUACGGAGGAUGCGAGCGUUAUCCGGAUUUAUUGGGUUUAAAGGGUGCGUAGGCGGCGGUGCAAGUCAGCGGUAAAAGCCCGGGGCUCAACCCCGGCGAGCCGUUGAAACUGCAGUGCUAGAGAAGGCGAGAGGUACGCGGAAUGCGCAGUGUAGCGGUGAAAUGCUUAAGAUAUUGCGCAGAACUCCGAUUGCGAAGGCAGCGUACUGGCGCCUGACUGACGCUGAGGCACGAAAGCGUGGGGAUCGAACAGGAUUAGAUACC